AAGUCGUAACAAGGUUUCCGUAGGUGAACCUGCGGAAUGAUCAUUAACACGUAUCCAAACGUUAAAACAACCCUGUGAAUAUUGAAUCUCAGUUCCCCCAGGGCAGAAAAAUGGGCUUCCUAUAGUAAAUCAUUGUCUUACCAAGGUUUUGAGUUAGAGGAUGGCGCACGAGUAGCACCUGUAUUGGGUCGAGCGUUUACAACUAUCCACUCCCUGUGGGGCCUAGUUCAUUCAGGUUGAACAUGAUGCAUGUCUACCGCGCCCGACGAAAGUCCGACGCACCCCUAACCGAACAACUGUUAACAAUGGAUAUCUUGGUUCUC
rnacentral:misc_RNA from 1 species